AGAGUUUGAUCAUGGCUCAGGAUGAACGCUAGCUACAGGCUUAACACAUGCAAGUCGAGGGGAAACGACAUCGAAAGCUUGCUUUUGAUGGGCGUCGACCGGCGCACGGGUGAGUAACGCGUAUCCAACCUGCCCACCACUUGGGGAUAACCUUGCGAAAGUAAGACUAAUACCCAAUGACGUCUCUAGAAGACAUCUGAGGGAGAUUAAAGAUUUAUCGGUGAUGGAUGGGGAUGCGUCUGAUUAGCUUGUUGGCGGGGUAACGGCCACAAGGCGACGAUCAGUAGGGGUUCUGAGAGGAAGGUCCCCCCANAUUGGAACUGAGACACGGUCCAAACUUCUACGGGAGGCA
rnacentral:rRNA from 1 species